AUUGAACGCUGGCGGCAGGCCUAACACAUGCAAGUCGAGCGAGCGGCGGACGGGUGAGUAAUGUAUGGGGACUGCCCGAUAGAGUGGGAUCACUACUGGAAACGGUAGCUAAUAACGCAUACUAUCGGAUAACCCAUAUGGGAUUAGCUAGUAGGUGAGGUAAUGGCUCACCUAGGCGACGAUCCCUAGCUGGUCUGAGAGGAUGAUCCGCCACACGGGUACUGAGGCACGGCCCAGACUCCUAGGGAGGAAGAAGUGGUGAAUAUUGCACAAUGGGCGCAAGCGUGAUUCAGCCAUGCCGCGUGGAUGAAGAAGGCCCUAGGGUUGUAAAGUACUUGCAGUCGGGAGGGGUUACCGAUAGAAGAAGCACCGGCUAACUCCGUGCCAGCAGCCGCGGUAAUUC
rnacentral:rRNA from 1 species